rnacentral:rRNA from 1 species
UAAGUGAAUAGUGAAAUCUGGUGGCUCAACCAUACAGGCUAUUAUUCAAACUGGCAAACUCGAGAGUGGUAGAGGUAACUGGAAUUUCUAGUGUAGGAGUGAAAUCCGUAGAUAUUAGAAGGAACACCAAUGGCGUAGGCAGGUUACUGGACCAUUUCUGACGCUAAGGCACGAAAGCGUGGGGAGCGAACUGGAUUAGAUACCCAGGUAGUCCACGCCGUAAACGAUGGAUACUA